rnacentral:tRNA from 1 species
GGGGGUGUAGCUCAGUCGGUAGAGCAUCUGCCUUUUAAGCAGGUGGCCGGCGGUUCGAGUCCGCCCACCCUCA